CGCGGUCCCGGCGCGGGGGGCCGCGGUGGCCGCUCCGGUCGGCCGGGGGUCGCCGCUCGGGCCGGCGGUGUCGCGG
rnacentral:tRNA from 1 species